UACGUAGGGUGCAAGCGUUGUCCGGAAUUAUUGGGCGUAAAGGGUGUGUAGGUGGCGCCGUAAGUCGGGUGUGAAAUCUCGGAGCUUAACUCCGAAACUGCAUUCGAUACUGCCGUGCUUGAGGACUGGAGAGGAGACUGGAAUUUACGGUGUAGCGGUGAAAUGCGUAGAUAUCGUAAGGAAGACCAGUGGCGAAGGCGGGUCUCUGGACAGUUCCUGACGCUGAGGCACGAAGGUCAGGGGAGCAAACGGG
rnacentral:rRNA from 1 species